GUUUUGGGUUUGAUUUCUCCCACGUCCCCUCCCAACGAUUCCUGUAACUUCCUACCCUUUCUUUUAAUAGGGAUCUCAAACCCACAUUUUUGCCCAUUCCCCUUUAUCGCUCUGUAUCAAUCAAUUGCGCUUUGAAAAGUAAAAGUGAAGCAUCGAUUUCGUCGCAACACCGAUUCCAAGCAUUUGUGUGUAUGUAAUUUCCGGUUAAAACUCAAGAACCAACCAAGGAUUGAGAUGGCGAGUUCAGUAGAGGCUGCCGGAGAACCUGUUCCGACGUCGGCGGUGCUAAUGUUGGCGUCCAAGCACAUCGCCGUUAGAUGCAGAGGUGAAGUGACGAUGUAACUCGGCCGACGUCUUCUGUGUAUAUAUUUAUAUUUCAUGAAACUUGUCUCUUUUAUCCCUGAAAGCUUGCCGCUUUAUGCAGAAUUUGGGCAAUUGGUAACAUUUUAGACACUUCUCUGUUGUUUUAAUUCAUUUCAGAGGUAUAUUAUAUGCAUGGUUUUCACUGGGUAUUGCUUAUGACCAGGUAUUACUGAUUCGAUACAUUUGUUUUUUUUUUUUUUUCAUAGUGAUGCAUUUGGUGAAGACAACGUUGGCCUUCUCACCAAGAUACGUGAUAUAUCAUAGUGUACGCGUUAUGUGUUUAAAAAUUAGACUUUAUAUUAUGAUGCCAUUGUUUUGGAUGAAGUUCACUGUCCAAGUGACAUAUCUUGGGGUGCCGUUUGGGAAGAAGUAGUAAUUAAUGGCCCAGGAGGAGUUCAACGUAUAAGCAUAUCAGCAACGAAUGGGUAUAUAUAAGAUAUUUUUCAACUUAGGAAGGAGUAAUAUGAAGCUCUCCUUUUUUCCUAGCAUGUUUGUAUUGUUCCUAAGUUUUAACAAUAGAUGGGAGCAGUUGUUGUACAUGUAAUUAAGGUCCAUAGCCACUAGCCAAAUUGGGGAGGUUAUAGAACUGAAAGAGAAGGAAUUGAAGUUAUCCUAGAUAGUGUAGACGAUGCAAAAGAUAAUGAGUAACUUGAUCAAUCUGCUACAUCAUCAAUAUACUGGCUUCAUGGUCAAAACUUUAUUAACCUUCGCAGCCAAUAUCUCCAUAAUCUUCUUAUUUCGUUUGUUCUUUGAUGACAUUAUUUUUUAUUUGCCGUGAGCAUGUUGAGAGUGACACCGAAUCACCGAUACCGAAGUUGAAGACGGUUAUAUUGCAGUGGUGGCAUUAUAUGAGGUUACAUAAGCUGGAAAUAUAGGUGUCUAUAUCUAAACUUUCUAUUGAUUGUUUUAUAUUGGCUUGUAUAUUUGUUUUUUCAUACUUUCAGUAACUCUUUACUAAAUGACAUUGGAAUGUGUGGAUAAUUUUUUUGAUUGCUGUUUGACUAUAGUAAAUAACAAUAGU
rnacentral:lncRNA from 1 species